CCUACGGGGGGCUGCAGUGGGGAAUAUUGCACAAUGGGCGCAAGCCUGAUGCAGCCACGCCGCGUGUGUGAAGAAGGCCUUCGGGUUGUAAAGCACUUUCAGCGGGGAGGAAGGCGGUGAGGUUAAUAACCUCAUCGAUUGACGUUACCCGCAGAAGAAGCACCGGCUAACUCCGUGCCAGCAGCCGCGGUAAUACGGAGGGUGCAAGCGUUAAUCGGAAUUACUGGGCGUAAAGCGCACGCAGGCGGUCUGUCAAGUCGGAUGUGAAAUCCCCGGGCUCAACCUGGGAACUGCAUUCGAAACUGGCAGGCUAGAGUCUUGUAGAGGGGGGUAGAAUUCCAGGUGUAGCGGUGAAAUGCGUAGAGAUCUGGAGGAAUACCGGUGGCGAAGGCGGCCCCCUGGACAAAGACUGACGCUCAGGUGCGAAAGCGUGGGGAGCAAACAGGAUUAGAUACCCCUGUAGUC
rnacentral:rRNA from 1 species